rnacentral:lncRNA from 1 species
GAAUCUUUCUGAAGGCCAGGGUCUUGCAGAUGUCACCAGGAAAGUGGUGAUCCAGAGAGGACCAGGCUGCCCUGACUGGACAGAGAUCCUCUGCUGUUGAGGAGUGGCAUCAUACUAUACUAGGGAAAUCCUGGAGGACCAUGAGAAAUGGAGGCAAACGACCAUUUUAACUUUACUGGCCUUCCCCCUGCACCUGCUGCCUCAGGACUGAAACCCUCUCCUUCCUCAGGGGAGGGCCUCUACACUAACGGGUCUCCCAUGAACUUCCCCCAGCAAGGGAAAAGUUUGAAUGGGGAUGUGAAUGUUAAUGGCUUAUCUACUGUAUCUCACACUACUACUUCAGGGAUUUUGAACUCUGCUCCCCACUCCUCCAGCACCUCACACCUCCAUCACCCCAACGUGGCCUAUGACUGUCUCUGGAACUACUCACAGUACCCAUCUGCCAAUCCUGGCAGCAACCUCAAGGACCCACCCCUUCUCUCUCAGUUUUCAGGGGGACAGUACCCACUCAACGGCAUUCUUGGGGGCAGCCGGCAACCAUCCCCGAGUCACAACACUAACCUUCGGGCUGGGAGCCAAGAGUUCUGGGGCAAUGGUACCCAGAGUCCCAUGGGGCUUAACUUCGACUCACAGGAACUGUAUGAUUCCUUUCCUGACCAGAAUUUUGAGGAGGUAGGCAGUGUGAUCCAUCCUGAUGAGGCAGCAGAAAAGGAGCUGACUUCAGUCGUGGCAGAGAAUGGCACCGGCUUGGUAGGCAGCCUGGAGCUGGAAGAAGAGCAGCCAGAACUAAAAAUGUGUGGCUACAAUGGCUCUGUCCCCUCUGUGGAGUCAUUACACCAAGAGGUCUCAGUCCUGGUCCCUGACCCCACAGUAAGCUGUUUAGAUGACCCUUCACAUCUUCCUGAUCAACUAGAAGACACUCCAAUCCUCAAUGAAGACUCUCUUGAGCCCUUCGACUCUCUGGCACCAGGUGGGCUAGAAGGCUGGAUCUUUUACUUAGCAAGCAGAGGGUAG